rnacentral:rRNA from 1 species
UACGGAGGGUGCAAGCGUUAUCCGGAUUCACUGGGUUUAAAGGGUGCGUAGGUGGCGGGGUAAGUCAGGUGUGAAAUUUCGGAGCUUAACUCCGAAACUGCAUUUGAUACUGCCUUGCUUGAGGACUGGAGAGGAGACUGGAAUUCAUGGUGUAGCAGUGAAAUGCGUAGAGAUCAUGAGGAAGACCAGUGGCGAAGGCGGGUCUCUGGACAGUUCCUGACACUGAGGCACGAAGGCCAGGGGAGCAAACGGG